AGAUGGGGCUAAAGGACUAAGAAGAAGAAGAAAAAACACCACGGGAUGUGAAAACCACUGGGAAAAGAGGAGGGAAAAGCCAGUGGGGGCAAUGAAUGCUGUCAGAGCCCCUUCACUGGCUCAGCUUUGUGACAGGAACCAAACCCUCACCCUGCAGGUGUUGCUUGUCAGCACUGGUGAGGGUCAGUGAGGUGGGGUGGGGUGUAAACCAUGAGUAGGAUACGCUGGAUAGCAGCACUCAGCAGGUGGAUCCCAGCUCCUUUCAUCCAAGCCUUUCUCUGCAGGUUAUAAAGGGCCUUCAGAAAGCAGCAUCUCCUCAGCUUUCAACCUGCAGUGUCCAGGAAUAACCCUGGGAGACACCACUGCAGAGGAAGGACCCAGGGCGUGAAACCUUGGUUGGCUUGAAAGGAGAGUCUUUUCUUCCAGCAAAAGAAAGAGGAAACUCAGGAUGUGGUGACCUUAUGGAACCCUAAACUCCGCUUCCCUGCAGGCGGGGCAGGUGGCACUAAAACCACAAACCAUCCCCUGGGGCUGUGUCCGACAGACCUGGCAGGUUCCCAGCAGCAUCCCUGCCAUUGCUGGAGUCGCAGUCAGUUCUCUUCUUGGUGUGUCCAGUGAUUAGGAGAGUGGUUAAUCACCAAUUAGGGGACAUUGCUUUCAAAAAGGAGGGCUGGGAAGGAAAGGAGCUGCUGUUGGAAUAUCACACUGGCUUUGGCAUUAGAUAGGCAGGAGCAAUACAUUAAAGAGAGCAGCAGAAAGUCUGAUGCCACCUACGUUCCUCCCAUGCAAGUUUUAAUUAUAGCUCUGGACUUGGCUGAGACGUGUCAUUGAGCCCCGUGUUCAGACAGCUUUUCCAUGACUAAAAUUGGCUCCCAAGGACGAUGUGUGGAGCAGGAUGUUGAAACCCAAAUGCAUUUCAGAGAAGUCAUUCUGGGUAGAGCCUCAGAAUGAAGCUGAACCUCCCAGCAGGGCACAGAAGUUAAGCCAAAUUGCAAUUUCAUUUGAUGUAUUCCUCGGGUUUUUCCCAGUUUCUGGGGAAAGCAGAUGGGAGGCAGCUCAGUUCAAGCAAUGAACUUAUGACUGUGAGAGCUUUAUGGUUUUUUUUGCCAAGAGACAGCUCUAAUUGAUUUCCUUGCACUGAGAAAAGUUGUGUUUGGGAGACAAUGUAUUACUUAUCACUGAUCUAAAGGGAAUUUUCAGCUGGAGCCUUUGGCAUAGGUGGAAAGUUAUAAUUUGAACAAGCAAAGGGUGAGACUUUUUAAUCCUUCACCUGGAUAUUGCUGUACAGAGGCUUGCUCGGUCUUGAGGCAUUGAUAUGGAAAAAAAAUGUGUAAGAAUAAAUUUUCUGUCUUUUUUAGAUGUGAAAUUUGCCUUCGCCCUUCGGUUCUCUCCUGUCAAGUCACUGCAUGAGCCCACGGGAUGUCAAGAGAUGAUGUGGGGAGUGACAUCAGCUUGGAAAUGGAGUCUGGAAAGUUGAAAAUAGUCUAGCAGUCCCUAUUAACUUAUUCCUAUUUUUUUUUCCUGAGCCUUAUAAAACAUUUCACAGUUGAAGCCAAACUCUGUGGUAGGAUGGAAGUGCCAUCAGUUGAUUGACUCUGCCAGCAUCACCCUCAAUCCAAAAGUGAUUGAAUGUGGUAUUUUGAGUGUGUCCUUUGAUAACCCCUAUUAAGGUACUCUUAUGUUUUGUUUUAAAUUUGAACUUUUGUCUUAAAUUUGUGAUUUUUUUUCUUGUUUGUUUGUUUUAAUAUUGAGCUCUGGGCUUAGAGUUGAGGUGAAUUGCUCAAGGUGACAAAAUUCUGAGGCAAAGAGGGAACUAAAUACUGCCAGAGAAGGACUUCCAAUAAUGAUAAUAUUUUUCAUAGAAUCAUGGAGAGGUUUGAGGCAAGAGUGAUCCUCAAGACCAUGUAGUUGCAACCCCCCUGCCACUAGAACUGUCUGUUUUUCUCUGAAAACAAAAAGAAACUCCAAACAUCUCUGGAUAAUUUACUGGUCCAGCCACCUGGAUGCCAUUAGGAUUGUUUGUUCCCGGUGUCAGCUCCUGUUGAGGGGAUGGAAGCAGAUGGAAGGGUGGCUGUCAAAGCAGGGUAUAUCUGUUUGUGGAGCUUGAAUGCAAGACCAGUUUUAAAAGAGAGAGACUUCCUAAAAGAAAUGAGUCUUGAAAUCUAAGCCUUGCUGAGUAACUAACACAAAUAACACCUUCCAUUAUUUAGGUUGUAAGCAAUAAAAAAUAUUCUUGCUCACGAUAGAGAGAUUUCUCCAUAUAUACUUGUUUCUGCUGUAAAGUUGAUGAAUCUGUAAUGCACUGCUUAAUUAAACAUUGCAGGGAUAUUG